GGAUGUGAGGGGAAUCUGGCUGUGGCACCUGUUAGCGGUGCCAUUGAUCACCAGAGUUGAUUCGGCUGAUCUGGUUGGCUAUGAGGGUGUCCCCUUCCUUCCUCACUGCCUCAUGCCCAUCCCUCCCCUAAGCUGCAUGCUCAGUGCAAGAGGAUGACCACCCUCAAUACAGGAGGACUUCUUCUCCGUAAGAGUAUAUGAGUAGCUGUGCUCCCCUGCUAGAGCCUCCAAACAAGCUCUGAGUAGGACUCUAAUGACACGAGAAAUAAUAGCAAGAAUCAACAAAUACAAUUAUGUCUAAUUUAAAGGCGGCUUAAAUU
rnacentral:snRNA from 1 species